rnacentral:tRNA from 1 species
CCCUAAAUAUAAAGAUGAAAUUUCUUUUCUUUAUA